AUACGGAAGGUCCGGGCGUUAUCCGGAUUUAUUGGGUUUAAAGGGAGCGCAGGCGGAGAUGCGAGCGUGACGUCAAAUUUCGGGGCUCAACCCCGUCUCGCGUCGCGAACUGCGUCCCUUGGUUGCGGGAAGGGGAGGCGGAACUCGUGGUGUAGCGGUGAAAUGCAUAGAUAUCACGAAGAACUCCGAUCGCGAAGGCAGCCUUCCGGCCCGUCAACGACGCUCAUGCUCGAAGGUGCGGGUAUCAAACAGGAUUAGAUACCCUGGUAGUCCGCACAGUAAACGAUGGACACCCGCGGUUUGGCCUAUAUGGCUGAGCCGCCAAGCGAAAGCGUUAAGUGUCCCACCUGGGGAGUACGCCGGCAACGG
rnacentral:rRNA from 1 species